UCUGCUUAACAAAUUCUGUGCUCGUGUUCCCACCAGAAUUUCUUGCAUUUCCCUCUUCGUUAUUAGUCUUUCUAUUCUUCCAUAUAUCUCAACAAGAAAAAAAAAAAAAAACCACACAAAGGAGGCUUCUUUGUUCAAGACACUGAAAUCUCUAGAUUGAAAGGUCUUGAGCUUAAUUCUGAGUUGAUUGGGUGAUCUUGUUCUGGCUUGUUCCUUUACUUUUCUCUAUUUCAUCACACAGUACUAAAAUAUCUCAAAAGAGGACUUGUUUCCGGUUUGCUAUAAUCGUGUGUUCUCCAUUAAUUCCUCAUAAUUAUUCCUUCUACUCUUAUUUUCAUUCACAGCUUCCCGCGUCUGUCAACAAAUUAAAAAAAAAAAGGUAAGA